rnacentral:rRNA from 1 species
UUGACCUCGGAUCAGGUAGGGAACCC